GGGUCCGUAGCUCAGUUGGUAGAGCGUCUGUUUUGCACACAGAAGGUAAUCGGUUCGAUCCCGAUCGGAUCCA
rfam:Mycoplasmataceae bacterium CE_OT135 Contig_18, whole genome shotgun sequence.